rnacentral:sRNA from 21 species
UGACGUCGGGAUCGCCCCCAGUCAGCGCGUUGCGCCCACUGGGGCAUUUGUG